rnacentral:lncRNA from 1 species
AUGUUAUCAAUUACCCAUAUAUAGGAUAUAUGCUUCUAAGACAAUAUGAUUGUCAAUUAGAAGAUCUUCCAAAAAUUUUCAUGACUCCAUAAGAUGUAGUUGGAAAGAAAUACAAAUCUUAAUCAUGUUAAGAUUUGGGGUUGUGUGCUAAUAAGCAAUAUUUGUUUGAGAAUUAUCUUGUGGGUAUCCUUAAAUUAACAUUUGGAUAUCACUUCUAUAAACCAACUAACAAAUGUUGUUUGUUGGGUAGUUCAUUGCAAUCCUACACUAGGAUUUGCCUAAGAUAGCGCAAAUGAACAAGAGAUAGAACUCAAAGAAUGGGUUCUUUGAGAGACAAGAUGAUAAUCAACAAAUAUAACAACCUAAUUCCUAAACCACAAGCUCCAAGGUAGUCGAGAAGGAUUUAUAAACUAUCUCAGUUGAAUGGUUUGAACUUUAUGACUAUGUCAUAGAGUUACACCUCUUAAUUCGAAAGAAAUAAGAAUGAAAAUCCUUAUGACUACAUUGAGUGUAUAUACGAUAUAUACUCAAGGAAAUGGUAAAGUACCAUUUGACCCGAAAUAAUGAAACCACCAUAGCUAAUUGGUAGCUUAAGGUGACUACAAUCAAAGAGAAUGG